rnacentral:lncRNA from 1 species
GGGUGUUUGGCGGAGAGAGGUGGCUAGCUACCCGCCUGAGAGGAGCUUGGAGUCCGGCUCUCGCGGGAGUCCGGAUGGAGUCUUCCUUCAGUUGAAGUCGGGGAUGAGGUCCGGCUCUCGAAGGAGUCCGGGCUGAGUCUACCUGCAAUCAAAGUCAGGGAUGAAGUCCGGCUCCCUUAGGAGUCCGGACGAAAUUUACCUGUAAGCGAAGUCGUGGGUGGAGCCCGACUCCCGUAGGGG